AACGCUAGCUACAGGCUUAACACAUGCAAGUCGAGGGGAAACGAUAUUGGAAGCUUGCUUCCGAUAGGCGUCGACCGGCGCACGGGUGAGUAACGCGUAUCCAACCUGCCCACCACUUGGGGAUAACCUUGCGAAAGUAAGACUAAUACCCAAUGAUAUCUCUAGAAGGCAUCUGAAAGGGAUUAAAGAUUUAUCGGUGAUGGAUGGGGAUGCGUCUGAUUAGCUUGUUGGCGGGGUAACGGCCCACCAAGGCGACGAUCAGUAGGGGUUCUGAGAGGAAGGUCCCCCACAUUGGAACUGAGACACGGUCCAAACUCCUACGGGAGGCAGCAGUGAGGAAUAUUGGUCAAUGGGCGAGAGCCUGAACCAGCCAAGUAGCGUGCAGGAUGACGGCCCUAUGGGUUGUAAACUGCUUUUAUAAGGGAAUAAAGUGAGUCUCGUGAGACUUUUUGCAUGUACCUUAUGAAUAAGGACCGGCUAAUUCCGUGCCAGCAGCCGCGGUAAUACGGAAGGUCCGGGCGUUAUCCGGAUUUAUUGGGUUUAAAGGGAGCGUAGGCCGGAGAUUAAGCGUGUUGUGAAAUGUAGACGCUCAACGUCUGCACUGCAGCGCGAACUGGUUUCCUUGAGUACGCACAAAGUGGGCGGAAUUCGUGGUGUAGCGGUGAAAUGCUUAGAUAUCACGAAGAACUCCGAUUG
rnacentral:rRNA from 1 species